rnacentral:rRNA from 1 species
CUACGGGGUGCUCCAGUGGGGAAUAUUGGACAAUGGGGGAAACCCUGAUCCAGCAAUGCCGCGUGUGUGAAGAAGGCCUGCGGGUUGUAAAGCACUUUCGGUUGGGAGGACUGCUUCUAGCACUAAUAUUGUUGGAAGUUGACGUUACCUUCAGAAGAAGCACCGGCUAACUCCGUGCCAGCAGCCGCGGUAAUACGGAGGGUGCGAGCGUUAAUCGGAAUUACUGGGCGUAAAGCGCGCGUAGGCGGCUAGAUCAGUCGGGUGUGAAAGCCCCGGGCUUAACCUGGGAACUGCAUCCGAUACUGUCUAGCUUGAGUACAGGAGAGGAGAGUGGAAUUCCACAUGUAGCGGUGAAAUGCGUAGAUAUGUGGAGGAACACCAAUGGCGAAGGCAGCUCUCUGGCCUGAUACUGACGCUGAGGUGCGAAAGCGUGUGGAGCAAACAGGAUUAGAUACCCGCGUAGUC